GUAUACCAUGUUGAAAUACACAGGUGUGGCCAGCCAGUAUACCAUGUUGAAAUACACAGGUGUAUCCAGCCAGUAUACUGUAUACCACGUUGAAAUACACAGGUGUGCCCAGCCAGUGUACCACGUUGAAAUACACAGGUGUAGCCAGCCAGUGUACCACGUUGAAAUACACAGGUGUAUCCAGCCAGUAUACCACGUUGAAAUACACAGGUGUAGCCAGCCAGUAUACUGUAUACCACGUUGAAAUACACAGGUGUAUCCAGCCAGUAUACCGUAUACUAUGUUGAAAUACACAGGCGUAUCCAGCCAGUAUACCAUGUUGAAAUACACAGGCGUAUCCAGCCAGUAUACCACGUUGAAAUACACAGGUGUAUCCAGCCAGUAUACCAUGUUGAAAUACACAGGUGUAUCCAGCCAGUAUACCAUGUUGAAAUACACAGGUGUAUCCAGCCAGUAUACCAUGUUGAAAUACACAGGUGUAUCCAGCCAGUAUACCAUGUUGAAAUACACAGGUGUAUCCAGCCAGUAUACCAUGUUGAAAUACACAGGUGUAUCCAGCCAGUAUACCAUGUUGAAAUACACAGGUGUAUCCAGCCAGUAUACUGUAUACCACGUUGAAAUACACAGUCGUAUCCAGCCAGUGUACAGUAUACCAUGUUGAAAUACACAGGUGUAGCCAGCCAGUAUACCACGUUGAAAUACACAGGCGUAUCCAGCCAGUAUACUGUAUACCAUGUUGAAAUACACAGGCGUAUCCAGCCAGUAUACUGUAUACCAUGUUGAAAUACACAGGCGUAUCCAGCCAGUAUACUGUAUACCAUGUUGAAAUACACAGGUGUAUCCAGCCAGUAUACUGUAUACCACGUUGAAAUACACAGGUGUAGUACUAUUCUAGGAUUUGUUCAUUACCAAGUUGGAACAUAUUUUUAUUGCAUAUUAUAAUGCUUGUUGUUGUUGUUGUUGUUGUAUAUCCUCUGCCUUGACGAUGGAAGUAUCCGGUUGAUCCGAUUCGAGGUGACGCUGGCGUCAUGAAAUAAAAGCACAUAUAUAUACUUUAUGAAAUAAUGUUUACACUCCUGUUGUUUAUUAAAAAUAAAAUUUAAAAAGGCAUUGUUAAUUCAAAUGUCUGUAUUUCAAUAUACUUAUUUUAUACCGUUUUAUAAGUGACAUAUAUAUAUAUAUAUUGUGUAUGAAAAGCCUUGUAAUUGUUGUAAUCACUUGAUGUGAUUUUUGUGCAUUUGACAUCAGUGUCUCGUUGUAUUUUUUUCAAUAUUAAAAGGACCCAGAGCAGUCAAAAAAAAAC
ensembl:lncRNA